CCAGACUCCUACGGGAGGCAGCAGUGGGGGAUAUUGGACAAUGGGGGGAACCCUGAUCCAGCGACGCCGCGUGAGUGAAGAAGUAUCUCGGUAUGUAAAGCUCUAUCAGCAGGGAAGAAAGAAAUGACGGUACCUGAGUAGGAAGCCCCGGCUAACUACGUGCCAGCAGCCGCGGUAAUACGUAGGGGGCAAGCGUUAUCCGGAUUUACUGGGUGUGAAGGGAGCGUAGACGGCAGCGCAAGUCUGGAGUGAAAUGCCGGGGCCCAACCCCGGAACUGCUCUGGAAACUGUGAAGCUGGAGUGCAGGAGAGGUAAGCGGAAUUCCUGGUGUAGCGGUGAAAUGCGUAGAUAUCAGGAGGAACACCGGCGGCGAAGGCGGCUUACUGGACUGUAACUGACGUUGAGGCUCGAAGGCGUGGGGAGCAAACAGGAUUAGAUACCCGAGUAAU
rnacentral:rRNA from 1 species